rnacentral:lncRNA from 1 species
AGGCCGGACAACAGGUACGAAGAUGCAUUUAGGGAGGAGAAGAAAAGUUCAGUGCCUAUGGAUGACUCUGGGUUAUAGCAAUUUAUCACUCACCUUUCGAAGAGCUAGGAAAGAGGGGCUUAGAGCCUCUUAACAUAGAGAAUGGCCGUUGUCUAAGGGCGUGGAGAUGUGGUGAUUGGGUGCAAUUGUUACACACUAUGUGCACUUGAAUUAGCAUCCUGUACUCCAUAAUAGGCACCAUUUAGAUGAAGAGGCCAGGAAGACAGCCUCAAGGUACCUGUGGAGUGAGAGCUUGGGGAAAGAUAUCUCCAUACCACACCAUCAUCCCUGCUUGUCAGGCCCUACUCUUUCCACCCCUACAUGCGCCUGAAUUAGAAGCCUUUUAGACAACUCUUGCUCUUUUCUCUCACUCUACAUCUGGGAUCAUGGAGUUAAGUCUUUUGUGAUACCUUUCUUAAGUAGAUAACUAUUGCUCCAUAUAUGAAGCUCCUAUUAAAACUAACUUCAAGCUAUUAGUUUCUUCCUCAAUUAUACAGUCUUUCUGUUAACUUUAAGUUCCCUUUAAGUUUUUCUAUGUAGAAACAUUUGGAACAUGAUGCCCAUAAGUGAUGGCCAUAUUUGCACUUACAUUGGACUUUUUAUUGUUGAACCAGAGCCAGACGAUGAUGAUGUGAUGAGACAUAUAACUAGGCUAAGAGAAAAGCUUGGUUGGCAAACUGUAUUAUCACAGCAUGGUAUGAAAUGUAGUAGAGCUAAAAUUCAGAAGAUUACUUUAAAGGAACCUUUGAAAGAUGAUGGUGAAUUUGUAUACUGCAUUCCUCGGGGGAAUCUUAAAAGUUUUCACAAUCCAUAUGAUCUUCAGGUGGUAUCUGCCUACAGAGCUAGAAAUUGCAAAAAAUUUUGGAUUAUUUCUGCUUCAUUUAUUUCAAAGGUUGUUAAAACAGGUGUUGAUACAGAAGAAGUAGAACUUGUUCCUGCUUUGGAAUGGCUAUCAGAAAGACGUCGUUACUAUUUAUUACAGCAAUUCAAGAUAUUUUCCAAUUUCCGAGUUAAUAAAGCCUUUUUGACAUGGAAAUUGAAUGUUAAAAGAAUUAAGACAGAGAAGAGCAGGUCAUUUUUAUAUGAUCAUCUCUUUUGGGCUGAUGAGUUAUUUCAAUCCUGUUUGCUUUAUAUAAGAGGACUCUGUGAAGAUGCUGUUAAUAUCAGUAGUUAUAAUGAACAUGUGGAUAAUUCCUCUGCUAUAUUUCUUGUGAAGGUAGGUGGGGUUACCUUCUACAAGCUAAUGCUAGCAUGUAGAAAUCUGUUAGAACAAAGAAGUAUAGACUUCUGGAUUCACAGGAGAAUUCCUUUGGAAUUCUCCUUUUGGUGUUUUGAAAUUGCUACUCAGAAUGUGAUUUCCUCAGAAGUCAAUCUUAAUCGUUUGCAAUAUUCCUUAGAAAGAAUUUCUAUUUGA